rnacentral:rRNA from 1 species
UACGUAGGGUGCGAGCGUUGUCCGGAUUUAUUGGGCGUAAAGAGCUUGUAGGCGGCUCGUCGCGUCGGGUGUGAAAACUUGCGGCUUAACCGCAAGCCUGCACCCGAUACGGGCGGGCUAGAGUUCGGCAGGGGAGACUGGAAUUCCUGGUGUAGCGGUGGAAUGCGCAGAUAUCAGGAGGAACACCGGUGGCGAAGGCGGGUCUCUGGACAGUUCCUGACGCUGAGGCACGAAGGUCAGGGGAGCAAACGGG